AGUGAACGCUGGCGGUAGGCCUAACACAUGCAAGUCGAACGGCAGCACAGUAAGAGCUUGCUCUUACGGGUGGCGAGUGGCGGACGGGUGAGGAAUACAUCGGAAUCUACUUUUUCGUGGGGGGUAACGUAGGGAAACUUACGCUAAUACCGCAUACGACCUACGGGUGAAAGCAGGGGAUCUUCGGACCUUGCGCGAUUGAAUGAGCCGAUGUCGGAUUAGCUAGUUGGCGGGGUAAAGGCCCACCAAGGCGACGAUCCGUAGCUGGUCUGAGAGGAUGAUCAGCCACACUGGAACUGAGACACGGUCCAGACUCCUACGGGAGGCAGCAGUGGGGAAUAUUGGACAAUGGGCGCAAGCCUGAUCCAGCCAUACCGCGUGGGUGAAGAAGGCCUUCGGGUUGUAAAGCCCUUUUGUUGGGAAAGAAAAGCAGUAGGUUAAUACCCCGCUGUUCUGACGGUACCCAAAGAAUAAGCACCGGCUAACUUCGUG
rnacentral:rRNA from 1 species